GAUGAACGCUGGCGGCGCGCCUAACACAUGCAAGUCGAACGAAGAGUAUUGCUUGAAGCUUUCGGGUGGAAAAUAAUAUUUCUUAGUGGCGAACGGGUGAGUAACACGUGAGUAACCUGCCUUUCAGAGGGGGACAACAUUUGGAAACGAAUGCUAAUACCGCAUAAGACCACACUACCACAUGGUAGAGUGGCCAAAGGAGCAAUCCGCUGAAAGAUGGACUCGCGUCCGAUUAGCUAGAUGGUGAGGUAACGGCCCACCACGGCGACGAUCGGUAGCCGGACUGAGAGGUUGAUCGGCCACAUUGGGACUGAGACACGGCCCAGACUCCUACGGGAGGCAGCAGUGGGGGAUAUUGGCACAAUGGACGAAAGUCUGAUGCAGCGACGCCGCGUGAGGGAAGAAGGUUUUCGGAUUGUAAACCUCUGUCUUCAGGGACGAUAAUGACGGUACCUGAGGAGGAAG
rnacentral:rRNA from 1 species